GAUUUCUGGUUUGACAUGCCUGGCCCGCCGGGGUCACCUGUGUGAGUGCCGGUGCGCGUCUACCAUCCUUCUGCAGAACGGCCUUACCCUUCACUGGGCCGAGGUCGCGAUGCAGAUCUUUUACUUUGAAAAAAUUAGAGUGUUUAAAGCAGGCUUACGCUGUGAAUACAUUAGCAUGGAAUAAUAAUUUAGGACUUCGGUUCUAUUUUGUUGGUUUCUAGGACUGAAGUAAUGAUUGAUAGGGAUAGUUGGGGGUGCUAGUAUUCAGCGGCCAGAGGUGAAAUUCUCGGAUUCGCUGAAGACUAACUUAUGCGAAAGCAUU
rnacentral:rRNA from 1 species